CGCGUAGGCGGUUUGGUAAGUCAGAUGUGAAAGCCCUGGGCUCAACCUGGGAAUUGCAUUUGAUACUGUCAGACUAGAGUAUGGUAGAGGGAAGUGGAAUUCCAGGUGUAGCGGUGAAAUGCGUAGAUAUCUGGAGGAACAUCAGUGGCGAAGGCGACUUCCUGGACCAAUACUGACGCUGAGGUGCGAAAGCGUGGGUAGCAAACA
rnacentral:rRNA from 1 species